GCCUCUGUAGGUCAUGGCAGACCACCCGAAAAAUAUUGGUUGCAACCAGGACAUGUUUCUUCAGGAGACGCGGGUUCAACUCCCACCGGAGGCA